AGCAGAGAUGCUUUGAUGCCUUCGGGAACUCUGAGACAGGUGCUGCAUGGCUGUCGUCAGCUCGUGUUGUGAAAUGUUGGGUUAAGUCCCGNAACGAGCGCAACCCUUAUCCUUUGUUGCCAGCGGUUCGGCCGGGAACUCAAAGGAGACUGCCGGUGAUAAACCGGAGGAAGGUGGGGAUGACGUCAAGUCAUCAUGGCCCUUACGGCCAGGGCUACACACGUGCUACAAUGGCGCAUACAAGGAGAAGCGACCUCGCGAGAGCAAGCGGACCUCAUAAAGUGCGUCGUAGUCCGGAUUGGAGUCUGCAACUCGACUCCAUGAAGUCGGAAUCGCUAGUAAUCGUAGAUCAGAAUGCUACGGUGAAUACGUUCCCGGGCCUUGUACACACCGCCCGUCACACCAUGGGAGUGGGUUGCAAAAGAAGUAGGUAGCUUAACCUUCGGGAGGGCGCUUACCACUUUGUGAUUCAUGACUGGGGUGAAGUCGUAACAAGGUAGGCGUAGCGAG
rnacentral:rRNA from 1 species